ACUCGUGUCAUCUUAUCUUGUUUAGCACAUGUGUGUUUGUACGUAUUUUAUCAUCUUAGCUAAACACAUAGUAAAAAUAUGCUAACAUAUCUGUGUGUCGUUGUAGGUAUGUAUGUGUAUUACAUUAUACAUAUCUCUUUAACAUAAGAUUGCUUUUAAUUUAGAUUUGUGUUUUCCAGUAUAUUAUUUAGAUUUGCACAGUUUGAAAAUCAUGCUAAAAAUUUAAGCUUGACUGUUAAGAUAUGCUGUGUCUUUAAGAAACUUUAUUCAGAAUUGAGACAUGGCUCGGUGGUUAAGAGUAAGUGCUCUUCCAGAGUUUGAUUCCCAGCACCCAUAUGAGGUGGCACAUGACCCCUUGUAACUCCAGGUAUUGUGGAAUCCAAUAUCUCUAGCCUUUUAUGCACCUGUACACAUAGACUUGUACUUGCACACAUGUUAGAAGCUUCAUUUCAGAGUCAUAGUGCUAUUAAUCUAGUGUUUUUGGGGUUUUUUUGUUUGUUUGUUUUUGUUUUGGUAUGGUCUGUUUUCUCUGUGUAGCCCUGACUAUCCUGAAUUCACCAGGCUACCCUCAAACUCAGAGAUCUAUCUGUCUGUGUCUUCCAAGUACUGGGAUUAAAGGUAUACAACCACCAUGCCCAGCUUAAUCUACUGGGUUUUUUUUUUUUAAUAAUAAAAAAAAAUAUUAAGCUCUUAGCCAACUUUUUUUUUUUUGACAAAAAUAGAAGCUUGCCUUUGCAAGAUAUAGAUUAUAAAUACAUAACUUUCUGGAUUACUUUUGACGGUUUAUUUCCUUGUAUUUCUGAAUAAUAUCAUUCGAUUCAGGAAGCAGAGAAGCAGACAGAUCUCUGAGUUUGAGGCCAGCCUGGUCUUCAAAGCAAGUCCAGGACAGCUAGAGAUAUAUAGUGAGACCUUGUCCCUCCAAAAAACAAAACAAACAAAAUCAUUCAGAGAUCAUUAAUCAUUUGUUUCUUUUUUUUUUCCAAAGAUUUAUUUUUAUAAUGUAAAUGAGUACAUUAUAGCUAUCUUCAGACACACACCAGAAGAGGGCAUCAGAUCCUAUUACAGAUGGUUGCUGGGAUUUGAACUCAGGACCUCUGGAAGAACAGUCAGUGUUCUUAACCACUGAGCCAGCUCUCCAGCCCUUUUGUUUAAUUUUUAAAAUUAGGAAUUCUGUUUAAAGCAGGGAACUCAGCAUUAAGACCUUUUGAAGGUAGAAAACUGACUAAGCAUUGUGACUAAUUUAAAAAAUAAAUAACAAUAAUGAGUGACUAUGCAAUGAAAAUAACUAAAAUCAACUAAUCAUAAGACAUUGGAUGCUAAAAAGCCAAUGCAAAAUGUACCUGUUGGUUUCCGGCAUCUUUCUUUUUCUUUGAAUGUAAUUUGAGUGCUACUAGUGCCACACCUUGCUGAGUAGCUUCUGUUCUAAUUCAGGAAGGUCAGGUGAGAAUUGGUGUUUUCUUUGGUUUUAGCCUUUGAGUAAAAUUAUUUACCUAUUUGAUAAACACAUUCAUAGUUAUCUUUGUUAUAUAGUCUUAUUACUAAAGCAGUCAAUAUAAGUAAGUUGAACUUUAGUAUUGCUUUUCAAUUAGGUAGUUUUAUUUCCAUUAACCCCCCACUAAAGAAAAUAUUGCUUUAUGUAUUUUAUCUGUUUAAAAGUAAAAUUAUGAAAUAAAAUCAUUGGGUUUGUUGAGGUGAC
rnacentral:lncRNA from 1 species